rnacentral:rRNA from 1 species
UACGAAGGGUGCAAACGUUAUUCGGAAUCACUGGGCGUAAAGGGUGCGUAGACGGUAUGUUAAGUUCGUUGUUAAAGGUUUCAGCCUAACUGAAAUAUUGCGAUGAAAACUGGCGCGCUAGAGGGUGAGAGAGAGAAGUGGAAUUCCUGGAGUAGCGGUAAAAUGCGUGGAUCUCAGGAGGAACACCAAUGGCGAAGGCAGCUUCUUGGCUCAUUCCUGACGUUGAGGCACGAAAGCGUGGGGAG